rnacentral:rRNA from 1 species
CCUACGGGAGGCAGCAGUAAGGAAUAUUGGUCAAUGGACGCAAGUCUGAACCAGCCAUGCCGCGUGAAGGAUUAAGGUCCUCUGGAUUGUAAACUUCUUUUAUCUGGGACGAAAAAAGGCUUUUCUAAGUCACUUGACGGUACCAGAUGAAUAAGCACCGGCUAACUCCGUGCCAGCAGCCGCGGUAAUACGGAGGGUGCAAGCGUUAUCCGGAUUCACUGGGUUUAAAGGGUGCGUAGGCGGGCAGUUAAGUCAGUGGUGAAAUCCUUGAGCUCAACUCGAGAACUGCCAUUGAUACUAUCUGUCUUGAAUAUUGUGGAGGUAAGCGGAAUAUGUCAUGUAGCGGUGAAAUGCUUAGAUAUGACAUAGAACACCUAUUGCGAAGGCAGCUUACUACGCAUAUAUUGACGCUGAGGCACGAAAGCGUGGGGAUCAAACAGGAUUAGAUACCCUGGUAGUCCACGCCCUAAACCGAUGAUUACUCGACAUUUGUGAUACACUAUAAGUGUCUGAGCGAAAGCAUUAAGUAAUCCACCUGGGAAGUACGACCGCAAGGUUGAAACUCAAAGGAAUUGACGG